rnacentral:rRNA from 1 species
AUUGAACGCUGGCGGCAGGCUUAACGCAUGCAAGUCGAGCGGGGUGAGGUGCUUCGGUACUGAUCCUAGCGGCGGAGGGGUGAGUAAUGCUUAGGAAUCUGCCUAUUAGUGGGGGACAACAUUCCGAAAGGAAUGCUAAUACCGCAUACGUCCUACGGGAGAAAGCAGGGGAUCUUCGGACCUUGCGCUAAUAGAUGAGCCUAAGUCGGAUUAGCUAGUUGGUGGGGUAAAGGCCUACCAAGGCGACGAUCUGUAGCGGGUCUGAGAGGAUGAUCCGCCACACUGGGACUGAGACACGGCCCAGACUCCUACGGGAGGUAGCAGUGGGGAAUAUUGGACAAUGGGCGGAAGCCUGAUCCAGCCAUGCCGCGUGUGUGAAGAAGGCCUUUUGGUUGUAAAGCACUUUAAGCGAGGAGGAGGCUACCUAGAUUAAUACUCUGGGAUAGUGGACGUUACUCGCAGAAUAAGCACCGGCUAACUCUGUGCCAGCCGCCGCAGUAACAC